AAAAAUGAGCCUGGGAACAAAUGGCUUCUUUACUUAAAACUUGGACCCGGCCGGCGAGCGUGGGCUGCCACUUGCUGGGUCACUGUCCGGGUUAAGGACGCUGUCGUUAGUGGAGACAAUGCAGGUCACAGCUGUGCAAACAAAGAGAUGACAGAGGGGCAUCAGGCACGGAAGGGCAUCAGGCAUAACAAGGAAUGGGAUUGGCCCCAGUGCCUGCCUCGACCUGUCUGGUGGCCACGAGCAGUGGCUUUGCCAUAGUGUGCCAGGUAAUGGAAACCAAGGACAGGCUGGUGACCAUGGCUUUAACAUAUAAGGAGGGACUGAGUCAGGAGGACAGUGGGGAGAACUUCAAUCACAACAGAAAGAAAGAUGCCGUAGGGUGGAGAUGCCUGGAUUUCAGGAGUGCUUUUGAUCAUGAUGAGUAUUUGGGUUUCUAGGAUGGUGGAAUGGAUUCUUUCUGUCAGAUGAGAACUGGACAACAUGACCUCACAAGAUCCUUCUUUUCCUAAAGACUCUGGGACUCUGUGGAUUCCUGGGAACCUUCCGAAGAGUCAGUAGAAGCGGAGCUCCAUCACCCCCAUAUUCCACAUUCUCAUAACCACCAGCUGGAUUUGCUCUCACAGUGACCUCUUUUCACUCCUUCCUGAGAUGUUUCUUGAGCUGGAGACCUGGCUGAGCACUUGCAUUUGUCUCUGCAACAUCCAUCAAACCAUUUACAUGAGUCUUUGCAUCACCUGGAAAGCAGAGCCUGAAGCAAGGGUUCGAAUGCGGAUCCUGGAUUUGGAAGGUGCAAGCCCAAGGUGGUGAGUGAGGGGUAGAUGGAGGCCAGGCAAGAGAAAGUACAGAGCUGGUGCUGGGGUGCGUGACCUUGCUCUUCCAUCUUCCACAAAGAGCCGCAGAGAAACUAGCAGGCAUGAGAAAGAGCCGCGAAGAAGCCAACAGGUGUGUUUGCUCAGAACAUGUGCCUUCUCUGGAAGAUUCGUAAAGGGAGAUGGUACCUUGGGGAUGUCUGUGAAGAGGAGGAGGGGUGGGGACCUAUCUGUCCCUCUGGCCUCCUAUUUUCCAUUGGGAGCUAAUUUCCACGAUCCCUUGAAUGCUGUCAUUGCUCCUCCAGCAGCUAUAGGGGAAGCCAGACCCACCCAUCACUCUGUAUUGUGACAUUUUAUCCAAGUUUUAUCUUGGAGGGACAACUUAGUAUGCUGGGGACACUAACCAAGAGAGAGGGGAGAUGAAGGUGGUUGAUGGAACCUGGGACGGUGCCUAAAAGCGUCAGCUUAUGUUUACAAACACCGUGCAGGGAAGGACUCUUAUGUGAACAAGCUAUGCGAUAGGGCCCUGCCUUCAGGGAACUGGCAGCUGAGGAGGAAAUCUCCAUAGCCAGGAAAUGACAGUAACUGCCCCUUGUAGACUCCUUACUGGGAAGACCACUAACAGCACCAGGAGGAAAUGCUGCAGCUUGCCUCAAAUCCUGGUCCAGCCGCGUGUCUGCUGGUGACUACAACAACCCUCUUAACGGAUCUGAGCCUUCGUUCCCUCAUCUGUGAGGUAGGGCUGAGGGUGCUGUCCACCUGCCCAGGCUGGUGGGGAACGUGCAAUGAGAUGAUCCCUGUAACAUGCUUGGCAUGAAGCUAGGCACAGUGUAGGUGUGAAUAUAUGAGAGCUGAUUAAAUUAACCAACCUUAUUCCUCCGCAUCAUGACUUACCAGCUACUACCCCACCUGUGUCCUGUAGAACCAGGCUUGCAAAGCCUCUGCUACAUACUAAAGCCAGGGAGAGGCCACUGAUGGGCAAAAAGAGGAGGACAGAGACCUGGAAAACACUAACAAGGGCCCAGUAUAUGCAUAGGAAGCAGACGGCUGAUGUUCAGGUGGAGUUCAGGUUCAGUAUGCUCCAGCAGCACCCAUCGGAGAACCCAUUGGUAAGAGGCUUUGGAACAGAUGAUUUUCUAAAGCUAUAACUGUGGGUGGCUUAUAGGGGUAGUGUGGCCACUGUGACACAUAGGUCCCAUGCCAUACAGGACCUUGGAGCCCUGUCCAAAGCAGUGAUGGGAAAUGCACGUGACUGGGGGCUCUCAGUCUAGGGGAACUAGGAGGGCUUCAGAUCCCAGAGCCUGGCUGAAGCCCCAGCAGGACCACAGUGAUGUCUUGUCUUGGGAAAGUGUGUGCCCUGCCCCCAGAGACACCUGGACUUUUCAGCUCAGCGCUGCGGCAAGCACCCUAGCACAUGCCACCCAGGGCUUCCCAGAGGGUGGCCCCGAGUCAGGCAGUACACUAAAGGUUGGGACUCAAGUGGAAAGUUUGCUGAGAGAGUGAACAGGGGAAGUUGUUGAUCCUGGCCUCAUCUGCCAUUGCUCUCUGGGCACCCUGGCGCUGAGCCAGCCUCGGCUGCUGGCCUCCCUCAGCUGCUGGCCUCCCUCAGUUGCUGGCCUCCCUCAGCUGCUGGCCUCCCUGCUGGGGGUCUGCACCAGGUAGAGUGCUGUUUGGCUGAGAUUCACACACACAAAAAAUCUCAUUAAGCGGUGGAUUAAACAAAAUUGGGGCUUAUUUCUUUCUCUUAUAACAAAAGCCCAGAGGUAGGUGGCUGUAUUAGUCAGGGUUCUCUAGAGGAACAGAACUAAUAGGAUCUACGUAUAUACGAAAGGGAGUUUAUUAAGGAGAAUUGACUCAAAGGAUCACAAGGCGAAGUCCCACGAUAGGCCGUCUGCAGGCGGAGGAGCAAGGAAGCCAGUGGUGGAUCAGUCCAGGUCCCAAAACCUCAAAAGCAGGGAAGCCAACAGUGCAGCCUUCAGUCUGUGGCCAAAGGCUCAAGAGCCCCCAGCAAGCCACUGGUGUAAGUCCAAGAGUCCAAAAGCUGAAGAACCUGGAGUCUGAUGUUCAAGGGCAGGAAGCAUCCCGCGUGGGAGGAAAGAUGAAAGCCAGAAGACUCAGCAAGCCAGCUUCUUCCACUUUCUUCCACCUACAUUUUUUAAGCUGCGCUGGCAGCCCAUUGGAUGGUGCCCACGCAGAUUGAGGAUGGGUCCACCUCUCCCAGUCCACUGACCCCAGUGUUUAUCUCCUCUGGCAACACCCUCACAGACACACCCAGAAACAAUACUUUUCAUCCUUCAAUUCAAUCAAGUUGACACUCAAUAAUCACAUCAAGCAUCCAAUGGACAGUCAUCUGAACACCUCUCCAGAUACAUCGCCACUGUGCAGGGCUUGGGCUGGCAGAGGGUGCUGCAUAAAGACCCAACUUCAAAAGGGAAUGAGAGAAACAGAGCAGUUCAUGAUGCCCCAAGUCUCCCUUUAAAAUCCUUCCGAGCAGGAAUUAUCACAAAGACUCCCCACCCUGGCAGCAGGGUGAGCUCCUUGGUGACCCCACAGGCAGCCCUGGCCCUGCUCUCUGAAGCACUUCCCGGGCUUGUCAUCCCGUGUCCCCUGGCUUUGUGCCCUGGAAGGCCCUUCCUUGUGCAGCACCCCUCAUGGCUCAACUGAAGCAAGCGUAGGAUGCUACACUCCUUGGGCAAUACACAGAUUUUGCAGCCAUCUUCUCCAGAUAUAGUUUUGAAGACCAUCACAGGCUAUUGUAGGCCCCACUUGUGGCACAUUUUUGGACAGUAACAGCCCCUCAAAAUGUAUUUGCUUCCUGUCUGUUCCAUGUGCAAGUAACCAUCCCCUCAAUCUGCUUACAGUCAUGAUCUUAAACGGACCAAGUCUCCUUUUCUGUUUCCAGGAUUUCUUGGUUGACCAGGUCUACGCUUCUGCACUAGUUCUCAAGAGCUGCUGUAACAAAGUGCCACAAACUAGGUGACUUAAAACAACAGGAAGUGAUCCUCUUAUAGUUCUGGAGGCUACAAGUCAGAAAUCAAAGUGUUGGCAGGGCCACGUGCCCUCAAAGGCUGUAGGGGACAAUCCGCUCCUUGCUCAUCCAGCCUCUGCUGGUUUCUAGCAGUCUUGAUGUUCCUCGGCUCCUGCCAGCAUCCUUGAAAUCUCCGCCUUCAUCUUCGCAUGGCUUUCUUUCUUGUUUCGGUGUCCAAGUUUCUUCCUUUUUAUAAGGACACCAGUCCUAUUGGAUUUAGAGUCCAUCCUAAUUCAUUACGGCCUGAUUACAACUGCUAAGACCCCUUUUUUAAAAAAUAAGGUUACAUUCACAAGUUCCAGGUGGACAUUAAUUACAAGGCAACACUAUUUAACUCGGUGCACCCUCUGUCUUUUUAUUUCAUGAUGUCUCCCCAAGGCCUUCUGAAACAGUAGGCUUGGUAGGGAGGCAGCACUCUUGCUCAGCUCAUGGAAGCUAAGGAGGCACCUAGAGACCCUUGCACCUACUGCUGCCUGAGAUACAGGAGCAGAUGGCUUUUCUAAUCUUGUGAGAAUCCAGACUUCUGGAUUUUAAAUCAAUUUAGAUUGCAGGUCUCAGCUUGUAAGCUUCUCUUAACCGAAGUCAAUUUUCUUCUAUACCUGUUUACAAAGCCAUGGGUUCUCACCUGAAUUUCUCUCUUUUGUAUUUUGCUAAAAGCAACAAAGAGCAGCCAACACUCUGAGUUUUUCCAGCAGAUUCCUGGUGAGACAAAGUCGAGAAGGUGGAUAGGAAAGUGGUCUGCUUUCCAAGUUAUCCCAGGGGACAGGUCUACCAAAAUUUGCAAAACACAGCAAGGGUGAACAGCUUCCAAACCUGCAGCGUCUAGACCCUCACCUCCUGCACCAACUGCUACGCCAGUGGUGUACAUUUUAGUUCUUCGUUUUGGUAGCACCCCACUUCUGGCACUAGUUUCUGUAUCUGUUAGGGUAGAAGCUAAGCUGCUAAAAUAAAGAGACCCAACCAUAGUGAUUUUGAUAAUGCAGAUCUUUUCACUCUCUCAUUUUACCAUGCAGGGGUGAAAAACCAGGGCUGGAAGGUGGCUGGGUCACCUUUAACUUGUUGUUACAUGACCACACGGAGCUGCAAGGGAGGGUGGGUUAUGCAGUCUGAAGCCAGACCACGUGCACAGCCAGAAUGUGUAUGGGGUUCUACUAAGUUUGAAAAGGAAAAAAGGCAUCACUGAUAUCAGAAGAUUGAUUUUCAAUUUUUCUCGAUCAUGUAUUUGGCGCUUUAUUGAGCUUCCAAUACCAAAUCUCCCUGGCUCCGUGCUGCCAUUUCUGCCUGAAUAUUUUCAAGGAAACUGAGCACCAGAGGUGUAGAGUAACUUUCCUGAAGUCACAGAGCAAUGUGGAGGUAGAGGUGGAGUCAGUGUCCAGAUCUACCAGGAGCCAAUCAGUCUGAGUCUAUCUGGGCGGCUACCACAAAAUACCACAGACUGAGUGGCCUAUAAACAACAGACGCUUACUUCUCUUAUUUAUCUCUGGAGGCUGGGAAGUCCACAAUCACGGGGCUGGCACAUUCAGCAUCUGGGCAGGGCUACUCUCUCUUUUAACAUGGCUCAUUUUUGCUGUGUCCUCACAUGGGGCUGGCAGAUGGCUGGGUCACCCUUAAUUUGUUGUUAAUUUCCAUGGUUCCUCCAAUUUGUUGUCACUCUUCCCAAAGGGCAGGGACUGAAAGAGUCUAUGGGAGCUUCUUCAGGGACACAACUCAGAAGUUGUAUGCAUCCCCUCUGCUCAUGUUCCAGUGGGCUGAGCUUUGUCACAUGACCACAUCUAGCUGCAAGGGAGGGUGGGAGAUACAGUCUGAAGCCAGAGAGCCAUGCGCACAGCUAGAAUGUGUGUGGGGCCAGAGGGGAUGAACGCUGUGUCCUUACAUGGCAGAGAAGAUGGAAGGCAAAAGGGACUAGGGUGCUUGCUACAACCUCUUUGAUGAGAGCAGAAAGCCAUUCAUGAGGGGGGAGUUCUCAUCAUUUAGUAACUUCCCUGAAAGCUCCACCUCUGAAUACCAUCACUUUGGGGUUUAAGUUCCAACAUGAAUUUUGGAGGGACACGUACAUUCAAACCACACCACAACCUGAUGCUCAUUUCCUCUUCCCUCCACCACAGGGUGAGACAAUCCUGCACCACAGGCAAUAAAGAGACCGUGAUAAGCAAAACCAUCCAUCUGGCUGUGGUUUGGCAUGCACCCCACUGGUCUCUUGAUUUUUCCCAAUUUCCCGUCUGGAGGGGGCCAUAGCCUAGGCCAGAAGAUGUUCUUUUCCCCCCAUGAACCUCAACAAAUCACCAAGUAUGUAAUGGAGGAAAACCGAAAAUCAAUCAUCUGAUAACAGUUCUGCCUUUUUCCUUGCUAUUAGUAGAACUCCACAUACCUGCUGUGCCCCUGGCUAUCUGGCUUCAGAGUACAUCUCCCACCUCCCUUGUAGCUGGAUGUGGUCAUGUGACAAAGGUCAGCCCAAUGGAACAUUUGAGCAGAGGGCAUGUGUACACCUUCUGAGUCCUGAGACCUAAAUGCAACCCAUUCUCCAAAAUCCAGUUUGCAUGCCCCCUCCUCCAGGAAGUCCUCUUUGACUACUGCAGUUUUUUGUUUUGCAAUACCCGUUUUCUAUAGUAUAUUGUUUCUGUGUUGUUCCCAUUGAUACAAAUGGUAUCCUCUUGAGGGCUGUUUAGCAAUUGUUUCAUCUUUCCCUAAUCCUGAGCCUCCCCUGUGUCUGCCACGGAGCCCAUGGCCUGCCCUCACUCCCUGGGUCUUGAGUGGGCUCCCCUCCUCUGUGCCUCCUCUGCUCCCAUCCUUACCUGCAUCAUUGACUUAUCCUGAUCAACUUUUAAGUCAACUGGUUACUUGUCUGCCUCACCCUCAAGAUCACAACCACUUUGACAGCAAGGACUUUGCUUUAAAGUUUUCUAGGGCUGACAUAACAAAGCUCCACAGACUCGGGGUCUUGAACAAGAGGGAUUUAUUUUCCCAUAGUCUUCCAGGCUGAAAGUUCAAGAUCAAAGUGUCGGCACGGUUGGUGGCUCCCGAGGCCCCGUCCUUGGCUUGCAGAUGCCGUCUUCUCCUUGUGUCUUAUCAUCUUCCCUCUCUGCAUGUCUGUGUUCUAAUCCCCUCUUUCUAUAAGGAUGUCAGUCCUCUUGGAUUCGGGCCCACCCUAAUGACCUCAUUUUAACUUAAUCACCUCUGCAAAGAUCUUAUCUCCGAACAUAAUCACAUUCUGAGUCCUUGGGGGUUACAGCUUCAACAUGAAUUUUUUUUGGGAAACACAAAACAGACUUGUUCCUUGUAGCCUACGUGCUCUGGCCCCUAGUACAGAACCUCUCUAAUGGGCCAUGUGGUAGCAGUCACUGGGUACCUGAAUGAAUGUUUAAAACACGAAGAACUGAUCUGACAGCUGGCACUGCUUUGGUGAUAAUUUAUCACAUCGAUCUUUCGGGUUCAGAGCGAGGGCACCCCAACCCCAGAGCAAAGGAGCUCCUGAGGUGGUGGCCAACAGAAAGCUGGAAGGGAGGCCCAGCUGCACUCCAGGAGAGCAGACCCAGCUGUUUCAGGGGCUCUGAGCCAUGUCUGACAACAUUCAAUGUGUUCAUGGAAAAUAGAAUCAGCCCAAUACACCUAAGCGGAGAGGAGGGUUUCUUAAGUGAGAGCUUUUUCCCCAAAAGAGGCGGGUGCUCCGAGGUCAGGAGAUCGAGACCAUCCCGGCUAAAACGGUG
rnacentral:lncRNA from 10 species